GCAUAUCAAUAAGCGGAGGAAAAGAAACUAACAAGGAUUCCCCUAGUAACUUGCGAGUUGAAGCGGGAAAAGCUCAAAUUUAAAAUCUGGCGGUCUUUGGCCGUCCGAGUUGUAAUCUAGAGAAGUGUUAUCCGCGCUGGACCGUGUACAAGUCUCCUGGAAUGGAGCGUCAUAGAGGGUGAGAAUCCCGUCUUUGACACGGACUACCAGUGCUUUGUGAUACGCUCUCAAAGAGUCGAGUUGUUUGGGAAUGCAGCUCAAAAUGGGUGGUAAAUUCCAUCUAAAGCUAAAUAUUGGCGAGAGACCGAUAGCGAACAAGUACCGUGAGGGAAAGAUGAAAAGAACUUUGGAAAGAGAGUUAAACAGUACGUGAAAUUGCUGAAAGGGAAACGCUUGAAGUCAGUCGCGUUGGCCGGGGAUCAACCUUGCUUUUGCUGGGUGUACUUUCCGGUUGACGGGUCAGCAUCAAUUUUGACCGUUGGAUAAAGUGUAGGGGAAUGUGGCAUCUUCGGAUGUGUUAUAGCCUUUGCUCGUAUACAACGGUUGGGAUUGAGGAACUCAGUACGCCGCAAGGCCGGGAAUUUAUUCCACGUUCGUACUUAGGAUGCUGGCAUAAUGGCUUUAAUCGACCCGUCUUGAAACACGGACCAAGGAGUCUAACAUGCCUGCGAGUGUUUGGGUGGAAAACCCGAGCGCGUAAUGAAAGUGAAAGUUGAGAUCCCUGUCGUGGGGAGCAUCGACGCCCGGACCAGACCUUUUGUGACGGAUCUGCGGUAGAGCAUGUAUGUUGGGACCCGAAAGAUGGUGAACUAUGCCUGAAUAGGGUGAAGCCAGAGGAAACUCUGGUGGAGGCUCGUAGCGAUUCUGACGUGCAAAUCGAUCGUCAAAUUUGGGGUAUAAGGGGCGAAAGACUAAUCGAACCCAUCUAGUAGCUGGUUCCUGCCGA
rnacentral:rRNA from 1 species